UACAGAGGGUGCAAGCGUUGUUCGGAAUUAUUGGGCGUAAAGGGCGCGUAGGCGGUGCGGUAAGUCUGUAGUGAAAUCUCUGGGCUCAACUCAGAGUCUGCUGCAGAAACUGCCGUGCUUGAGUGUGGGAGAGGUGAGUGGAAUUCCCGGUGUAGCGGUGAAAUGCGUAGAGAUCGGGAGGAACACCAGUGGCGAAGGCGGCCGGCUGGGGGUGACCUGACGCUGAGGCGCGAAAGCGUGGGGAGCGAACCGG
rnacentral:rRNA from 1 species